UGCAGGGUAGAGAAGUGGUAUCUCGCCAGACUCAUAACCUGGAAAUCGCUGGUUCGAUCCCAGCCCCUGCAA
rnacentral:tRNA from 1 species